rnacentral:rRNA from 1 species
UUCCAGACUCCUACGGGAGGCAGCAGUCGGGAAUAUUGCGCAAUGGAGGAAACUCUGACGCAGUGACGCCGCGUAUAGGAAGAAGGUUUUCGGAUUGUAAACUAUUGUCGUUAGGGAAGAUAAAAGACUGUACCUAAGGAGGAAGCCCCGGCUAACUACGUGCCAGCAGCCGCGGUAAUACGUAGGGGGCGAGCGUUAUCCGGAAUUACUGGGUGUAAAGGGAGCGUAGACGGCGAAGUAAGCCUGAAGUGGAAGCCCGCGGCCCAACCGCGGAACUGCUUUGGGAACUGUUUUGCUGGAGUAUGGGAGGGGUAAGCGGAAUUCCUGGUGUAGCGGUGAAAUGCGUAGAUAUCAGGAGGAACACCGGUGGCGAAGGCGGCUUACUGGACCAUGACUGACGUUGGGGCUCGAAAGCGUGGGGAGCGAACAGGAUUAGAUACCCGAGUA